AUUGAACGCUGGCGGCAUGCCUUACACAUGCAAGUCGAACGGCAGCGGACCUUCGGGUGCCGGCGAGUGGCGAACGGGUGAGUAAUAUAUCGGAACGUACCUUUCAGUGGGGGGUAACGUAGCGAAAGUUACGCUAAUACCGCAUAUUCUGUGAGCAGGAAAGCAGGGGAUCGCAAGACCUUGCGCUGAUUGAGCGGCCGAUAUCAGGAUUAGCUAGUUGGUGAGGUAAAGGCUCACCAAGGCGACGAUCUGUAGCGGGUCUGAGAGGAUGAUCCGCCACACUGGAACUGAGACACGGUCCAGACUCCUACGGGAGGCAGCAGUGGGGAAUUUUGGACAAUGGGCGCAAGCCUGAUCCAGCCAUGCCGCGUGAGUGAAGAAGGCC
rnacentral:rRNA from 1 species